rnacentral:rRNA from 1 species
CUUGAACGCCGGCGGCAGGCCUAACACAUGCAAGUCGAGCGGAUGAAGGGAGCUUGCUCCUGGAUUCAGCGGCGGACGGGUGAGUAAUGCCUAGGAAUCUGCCUGGUAGUGGGGGAUAACGUCCGGAAACGGGCGCUAAUACCGCAUACGUCCUGAGGGAGAAAGUGGGGGAUCUUCGGACCUCACGCUAUCAGAUGAGCCUAGGUCGGAUUAGCUAGUUGGUGGGGUAAAGGCCUACCAAGGCGACGAUCCGUAACUGGUCUGAGAGGAUGAUCAGUCACACUGGAACUGAGACACGGUCCAGACUCCUACGGGAGGCAGCAGUGGGGAAUAUUGGACAAUGGGCGAAAGCCUGAUCCAGCCAUGCCGCGUGUGUGAAGAAGGUCUUCGGAUUGUAAAGCACUUUAAGUUGGGAGGAAGGGCAGUAAGUUAAUACCUUGCUGUUUUGACGUUACCAACAGAAUAAGCACCGGCUAACUUCGUG